rnacentral:rRNA from 1 species
CGGGCGGCGCGCCGGUCUAAGUCCCUUGGAACGGGGCGUCACAGAGGGUGAGAAUCCCGUAUGUGACCGGUGACCGCGCCCAUGUGAAACCCCUUCGACGAGUCGAGUUGUUUGGGAAUGCAGCUCAAAAUGGGUGGUAAAUUUCAUCUAAAGCUAAAUACUGGCCAGAGACCGAUAGCGCACAAGUAGAGUGAUCGAAAGAUGAAAAGCACUUUGGAAAGAGAGUCAAAAAGUACGUGAAAUUGUUGAAAGGGAAGCGCUUGCAACCAGACCUGCCCGCGGGUGAUCAACCGUCCUUCGGGGCGGUGCACUCGCCCGCGAUCAGGCCAGCAUCGGUUCGGGCGGUCGGAUAAAGGCCUUGGGAACGUAGCUCCUCUCGGGGAGUGUUAUAGCCCUCGGCGCAAUGCGGCCUGCCCGGACCGAGGACCGCGCUUCGGCUAGGAUGCUGGCGUAAUGGUUGUAAGCGGCCCGUCUUGAAACACGGACCAAGGAGUCGACCAACUAUGCGAGUGUUUGGGUGUCAAACCCACACGCGCAAUGAAAGUGAACGGAGGUGGGAACCCCUCGGGGCGCACCAUCGACCGAUCCAG